AGGUUGAGCCCCGCCACCCUCUCGCCGUGGACGUUGGGCAGUGGGUCGAGGCAGCCGAGCUGCUCCAGGGAUGUUAUUCUUGACACCCCGGGGCAAAUGGAGGUAUUCACCUGGUCAGCGUCAGGAACCAUCCUAACUGGGGCCUUGGGUUCCUCUUUCCCUUCGGUCGCUGUGGGUGUGCCGGACGCCUCUGGCAGGACUAACCCUGUGGCUUUU